rnacentral:tRNA from 1 species
AGGGGGAUACCUUAGUGGUACAUUGUUUGCCUCGCAUGUAUGAGGCCCUGGGUUCGAUCCCCAGUAUCCUUC